rfam:Leersia perrieri chromosome 3, whole genome shotgun sequence.
AUGGAUGAGGAAAUGCACUGGGCUCCGAGCAGUGAAAUCACUGCGUUUUGAUGGAUACGCACUUGCCUAGAAAGCAUUGUCUGACAC